rnacentral:rRNA from 1 species
UACAUAGGGCGCAAGCGUUGUCCGGAAUUAUUGGGCGUAAAGAGCUCGUAGGCGGCUUGUCACGUCGAUUGUGAAAGCCCGAGGCUUAACCUCGGGUCUGCAGUCGAUACGGGCUAGCUAGAGUGUGGUAGGGGAGAUCGGAAUUCCUGGUGUAGCGGUGAAAUGCGCAGAUAUCAGGAGGAACACCGGUGGCGAAGGCGGAUCUCUGGGCCAUUACUGACGCUGAGGAGCGAAAGCGUGGGGAGCGAACAGG